CAGCCGCCGCGGUAACACGAGGGGGGCUAGCGUUGCUCGGAAUCACUGGGCGUAAAGGGUGCGUAGGCGGGUCUUUAAGUCAGGGGUGAAAUCCUGGAGCUCAACUCCAGAACUGCCUUUGAUACUGAAGAUCUUGAGUUCGGGAGAGGUGAGUGGAACUGCGAGUGUAGAGGUGAAAUUCGUAGAUAUUCGCAAGAACACCAGUGGCGAAGGCGGCUCACUGGCCCGAUACUGACGCUGAGGCACGAAAGCGUGGGGAGCAAACAGGAUUAGAUACCCGCGUAGUCCCUGUCUCUUAUAC
rnacentral:rRNA from 1 species